rnacentral:rRNA from 1 species
UACGUAGGGUGCAAGCGUUAAUCGGAAUUACUGGGCGUAAAGCGUGCGCAGGCGGUUUUGUAAGUUUGUCGUGAAAUCCCCGGGCUUAACCUGGGAAUUGCGAUGAAGACUGCAAGGCUUGAAUCUGGCAGAGGGGGGUAGAAUUCCACGUGUAGCAGUGAAAUGCGUAGAGAUGUGGAGGAACACCGAUGGCGAAGGCAGCCCCCUGGGUCAAGAUUGACGCUCAUGCACGAAAGCGUGGGGAGCAAACAGG